rnacentral:rRNA from 1 species
CCGCCAACACUGGGACUGAGACACUGCCCAGACUCCUACGGGAGGCUGCAGUCGAGAAUCUUUCGCAAUGGACGAAAGUCUGACGAAGCGACGCCGAGUGAACGAUGAAGGCCUUCGGGUUGUAAAGUUCUUUCGCAGGGGAACAAGAGAUAGAGGUUAAUAUCCUUAAAUAUCG